rnacentral:rRNA from 2 species
AUGCUGGAGGUAUCAGAAGUGCGAAUGCUGACGUGAGUAACGACAAAACGGGUGAAAAACCCGUUCGCCGAAAGACCAAGGGUUCCAGUCCAACGUUAAUCGGGGCUGGGUGAGUCGACCCCUAAGGCGAGGCCGAAAGGCGUAGUCGAUGGGAAAAUGGUUAAUAUUCCAUUACUUCUGUGUAAUGCGAUGAGAGGACGGAGAAGGCUAAAUCAGCCUGGCGUUGGUUGUCCAGGUGAAAGGAUGUAGGCAUGUAUCUUAGGCAAAUCCGGGGUACUCUAUGCUGAGAUCUGAUAGCAAGCUGUACUUGUACAGCGAAGUGGUUGAUGCCAUGCUUCCAGGAAAAGUCUCUAAGCUUCAGUUACACAGGAAUCGUACCCGAAACCGACACAGGUGGUCAGGUCGAGUAGACCAAGGCGCUUGAGAGAACUCUGCUGAAGGAACUAGGCAAAAUGGUACCGUAACUUCGGGAGAAGGUACGCUGUUGUUGGUGAUGGAACUCGCUUCCUGAGCUGACGACAGCCGCAGAAACCAGGCCGCUGCAACUGUUUAUUAAAAACAUAGCACUCUGCAAACACGAAAGUGGACGUAUAGGGUGUGAUGCCUGCCCGGUGCUGGAAGGUUAAUUGAUGGGGUUAGCGUAAGCGAAGCUCUUGAUCGAAGCCCCAGUAAACGGCGGCCGUAACUAUAACGGUCCUAAGGUAGCGAAAUUCCUUGUCGGGUAAGUUCCGACCUGCACGAAUGGCAUAAUGAUGGCGGCGCUGUCUCCAGCAGAGGCUCAGUGAAAUCGAAAUCGCUGUGAAGAUGCAGUGUACCCGCGGCUAGACGGAAAGACCCCGUGAACCUUUACUGCAGCUUGACACUGAACUUUGACCUUACUUGUGUAGGAUAGGUGGGAGGCUUUGAAGCUGGAACGCUAGUUCCAGUGGAGCCGUCCUUGAAAUACCACCCUGGUAAUGUUGAGGUUCUAACUCUGUCCCGUGAUCCGGGACGAGGACCGUGUCUGGUGGGUAGUUUGACUGGGGCGGUCUCCUCCUAAAGAGUAACGGAGGAGUACGAAGGUGCGCUCAGCGUGGUCGGAAAUCACGCGUAGAGUAUAAAGGCAAAAGCGCGCUUAACUGCGAGACCCACAAGUCGAGCAGGUACGAAAGUAGGUCUUAGUGAUCCGGUGGUUCUGUAUGGAAGGGCCAUCGCUCAACGGAUAAAAGGUACUCUGGGGAUAACAGGCUGAUACCGCCCAAGAGUUCAUAUCGACGGCGGUGUUUGGCACCUCGAUGUCGGCUCAUCUCAUCCUGGGGCUGAAGCAGGUCCCAAGGGUAUGGCUGUUCGCCAUUUAAAGAGGUACGCGAGCUGGGUUUAGAACGUCGUGAGACAGUUCGGUCCCUAUCUACCGUGGGCGCUGGAAAUUUGAGAGGAUCUGCUCCUAGUACGAGAGGACCAGAGUGGACGAACCUCUGGUGUACCGGUUGUGACGCCAGUCGCAUCGCCGGGUAGCUAUGUUCGGAAGGGAUAACCGCUGAAAGCAUCUAAGCGGGAAGCCUACCUCAAGAUAAGAUUUCCCUAGGACUUUAUGUCCUCUAAAGAGCCGUUCGAGACUAGGACGUUGAUAGGUUGGAUGUGGAAGCAUAGUGAUAUGUGAAGCUGACCAAUACUAAUUGCUCGUGAGGCUUGACUA